AUACUUACCUGGCUCAGAGGCAACCAUGAUCACUAAGGUGGUUCCUCCAGGGCGUGGCCUUUCCAUUGCACUAAGGAUGGGCUGACCCCUUUAGAAGUGAUAUUCUCACGACCGGCUUUAUCUAAAUUUUUUAAAUUUUUUAAAAUUAUCAAUAUUGAAAAC